rnacentral:rRNA from 1 species
AGUCGACGAUGAAUCUUCUAGCUUGCUAGAAGUGGAUUAGUGGCGCACGGGUGAGUAAUGCAUAGGUUAUGUGCCCUUUAGUCUGGGAUAGCCACUGGAAACGGUGAUUAAUACUGGAUACUCCCUACGGGGGAAAGUUUUUCGCUAAAGGAUCAGCCUAUGUCCUAUCAGCUUGUUGGUGAGGUAAUGGCUCACCAAGGCUAUGACGGGUAUCCGGCCUGAGAGGGUGAUCGGACACACUGGAACUGAGACACAGUCCAGACUCCUACGGGAGGCAGCAGUAGGGAAUAUUGCUCAAUGGGGGAAACCCUGAAGCAGCAACGCCGCGUGGAGGAUGAAGGUUUUAGGAUUGUAAACUCCUUUUGUUAGAGAAGAUUAUGACGGUAUCUAACGAAUAAGCACCGGCUAACUCCGUGCCAGCAGCCGCGGUAAUACGGAGGGUGCAAGCGUUACUCGGAAUCACUGGGCGUAAAGAGUGCGUAGGCGGGGUAAUAAGUCAGAUGUGAAAUCCUGUAGCUUAACUACAGAACUGCAUUUGAAACUGUUACUCUGGAGUGUGGGAGAGGUAGGUGGAAUUCUUGGUGUAGGGGUAAAAUCCGUAGAGAUCAAGAGGAAUACUCAUUGCGAAGGCGACCUGCUGGAACAUUACUGACGCUGAUGCACGAAAGCGUGGGGAGCAAACAGGAUUAGAUACCCUGGUAGUCCACGCCCUAAACGAUGGAUGCUAGUUGUUGCCUUGCUUGUCAGGGCAGUAAUGCAGCUAACGCAUUAAGCAUCCCGCCUGGGGAGUACGGUCGCAAGAUUAAAACUCAAAGGAAUAGACGGGGACCCGCACAAGCGGUGGAGCAUGUGGUUUAAUU